UACGUAGGGUGCAAGCGUUGUCCGGAAUUAUUGGGCGUAAAGAGCUUGUAGGCGGUUUGUCGCGUCUGCUGUGAAAUUUCGGGGCUCAACCCCGAACUUGCAGUGGGUACGGGCAGACUAGAGUGUGGUAGGGGAGCGUGGAAUUCCUGGUGUAGCGGUGAAAUGCGCAGAUAUCAGGAGGAACACCGAUGGCGAAGGCAGGUCUCUGGGCCAUAACUGACGCUGAGAAGCGAAAGCAUGGGGAGCGAACAGG
rnacentral:rRNA from 1 species